rnacentral:lncRNA from 1 species
AUGAGUUCCUGCCUUUUCCUUAGCCUACCCUCAGCCAGGCACCAUUCUCUGGGCUCUUUCAUGCUGACCCAGUCAGCUCCCUCCCACCUCCCUGCCAAGGGCUGCAGGCAUGGUCCGUGCAUGGCCCAUGGAGCUCCAGUAGAGCCAGCCCCAGGGAACGGCCCUGGCUGUUUAUCCAGAUGGUUUGCUUCCCUUUUCUUCCAAGGGCUUUGCCACAUAUGUCCAGUGCUGGUUUGGUGGGAAGAGCCAAGGCCAGCUCUUGGGACUGCUGAUGCAGGUGGGGUGACGUUGCAUGAGGUGCCUUCCCCAGCUCCCUUCACAAACGUCUUUCUGCAUAGCCACAGGCAGGCCCCUGCUGGACCAGCAGAUGGGAAGGCUCUUCUAUGUGAGCUGGUGUCCACCAGGCAAAGAAGACUGAUCCCACCACAGAGAUCUCAUGCAGUCCAUGACUCAGCCAGCAGCCCUGUGCUUGAGUCACACGUGGAGAAGCUGCAGAUGGCCCUGGCUGUGUUGAAGUUCAGCUGUGAGCCAGCACUGGGGCAAAACGCAACUUCAGCAGCAAAAUUCAAGCUGCUGGGGCUGAAAGAACAGGGCCCAAAGGUCAAGCACAUGGCAGGACAGCCACUUGGAAGGAAGGAGCUGAGAAGAAAGGUGCAAGAGAUAAGAAGAGAUGGCAGAGGUAAAGGAGACCACUGCCAGGCUGAAGACCUGGUGACAGUCUGUUGGCAGGGCAGACCCCUCUGCAGAUUGCUCUUGACUGGAAGGGUCAGAAUGAGAAAUGCUCCAGCUCCAGAUGAGGUACCCGCAGGACUGCUCAGGUCAGCAGCAAAUGUGACCUUUCAGGUCUAUCCAGAUAAUUGGAGAUAAGGCACCAAGCACUGAGAUUUGGGAAGACCAGAGAAUGUUCCAGUCCUGAAGAGGGCCAGGGAGGAGGCACAAGUGACAAGAUCAUUGAGCAAUGCCAGCCUGGAGGAGCCAGGAACAGGUUCAAAGGAACAGGCAGGUUUUGGACUGGAGGGGGCACAAGAGGUAACAUAACCAGCUUCUGUGUGGUGAGGCGAAAGGCAGGAGAGUGCUGGCUGUCUCCUCAUCAGCAUCACUGGGCAUUUGAUUCAGUAGGACGGGAGACUGCGGCUGACCGGGCUAAGGACGGAGGUUCAGACCCUCCAGUGGACAAGCUCUGCUGCUGACAACUGCUUUAGAGGAAGCCCUAAGAUGAAUGGUAACUCAGUCAAUAAUGUAAGAGUGCAGAUCAUAUAACGCUGAUUGCCUCAGAAAUAUAGAAUCAUUUGAGAGCAAAGAGCCCUCGGAAGGUCUCCAGUCCAACCCUCUGCUCGGAACCAGGCCACCUCCCACCCUCAGGAGGGUUGCCCAAGGCCCCAUCCAGUUUCCAAGGGUGGAGACCCCUCUGCUCCUCUGGGCCCUGCUCCAGGGCUGCACCAUUCUCAUAGUGAAAGGGGUUUUUCCUUAGGGCUUUCCUGGAUAUCUCUUGCUGCAGCUUUUGGCCACUGCCUCUUCCCUGUGCAUCUCUGGGAAGAGUCAAGCUCUACCUUCAUUUAAACUCCCCCACCCCUCUGAGUAGUUUUAGAGAGCAAUUAGAUCCCCAUCUAUUACUUCUUCAGGUUAAAUAAAUGCUGGUCCCUGAGCAGCUCCUCACAUGCCACAUGCUCCAGCCCCCGAUGAUCU